GGGGCCACCUGGGCCCGCGCGUGCAGCCAGGGGCUUCCGGCCGCGGCCCCGGCGCGUGGUCUGCGCGCGCCCGGCCGUGCGUGCGGCUGCGGGGAGGCUGCGUGUGUGCGCAGGGCGGGAGCGCCGUCCACCUUCCCGCUUCCGAGCUGGGUGCGCGCCGAGCACAGGAGUUUGCACAGAGUGCCUGCUUUUAGGAGGUGGCUGUGUUGUCGGAAAAGCUGUCAAGGAGGAAAUUGCCAAACCGUGUCUUUUUUUCUGUUUUCAGAGUAAUUCACAGCAGAUCUGA
rnacentral:lncRNA from 1 species